AACGAAAAUUUUUAUCCUUAUCGGUGGAUCACUCGGCUCGUAUA
rnacentral:rRNA from 1 species